GUCUAUUCUGCGUCAAAGGUCCCGUUCAUCUCAGGCAAAUUGCGUUGCAGCCUCAAUUGUACAUGUGCUUCAAUCUAUUUUCAUGUUGUUUUCUUGGGCCUAGUGUUUUGCUUCUUGGGUGUUUGACAAACGCUUCACAAAUUAAGCUCCUCUUAACAAUUUCAUAGGUGUCGGUUGGCCUGCAGCUCGUGUGGUCGGAGGUGCUCGUGUGGGCGGAGGUGCUUGUGCGGGAUGAAACUUUGGACGAUCUAUGUUCAUGUCAUUACUGUUUAUAAAUAUCUUCUGUUGUUCUAGAUGAUAGUCUUGACUUUUCCGGUGUUCAUGGCGGUAACUAAGGUAUAUCUAUGUUGUAGUCGACAAGGAGGCCUACCUAUGAUGCCCGUGCAGUUGAAAAUGUUUGCAAGGCAGCCUAUGAUGUCUGGUUGGAGGCCUACUUAUGAUGUCAGAUUGUUGUACACGGAAAUUUUGCGGGAUAGUUUGCAAAUUGGGAGUUUAUGUUUUUCUUAGUUAGCUUUUAAGAUUGUUGUAGUUAAAACAUGAGAUGGAAGCCUCAUAUUGAAUACUUAGCUAUGUUACAAAUUUAUAGUAGUGGCUAUCUUCUACAUCAGCCUGUGUUCAAAUAGUCUAUUUUGUAUGUUUGUUCACAGAAGUUGAUUAUCCUAGCAUACAACUACCCUCCGGUCGUGAAGCCUUAGAUUGAAUACAAAGCUAUGUUGCCAAUGAUCUCAUAACCUUGCCUGUCACAUUGCACCUAUGAUAUGAGGAGUACGACAAAUUUUACAAAUAGAACAUAUAUAAUUUGUGGUAGCAGAAUUACAUUUAGUACUGAAUAUUUGAUUAAUAAUCCUUACUCCGUAUGGAGCAAAGUCUACAACCUUUAUAUCUAAAGCAGUUUAACUUUGAUACUAGACAGUGGGUAUGCUAAGCUUUGCCACUUUCUGAAGUGUGUUGAAAUAGGAGUUCCAG
rnacentral:lncRNA from 1 species